GACGAACGCUGGCGGCGUGCUUAACACAUGCAAGUCGAACGGAAAGGCCCUGCUUUUGUGGGGUGCUCGAGUGGCGAACGGGUGAGUAACACGUGAGUAACCUGCCCUUGACUUUGGGAUAACUUCAGGAAACUGGGGCUAAUACCGGAUAGGAGCUCCUGCUGCAUGGUGGGGGUUGGAAAGGUUCGGCGGUUGGGGAUGGACUGGCGGCUUAUCAGCUUGUUGGUGGGGUAGUGGCUUACCAAGGCUUUGCCAGGUAGCCGGCCUGAGAGGGUGAGCGGACACGUUAGGACUGAGAUACGGCCCAGACUACUACGGGAGGCAGCGGUGGGGAAUAGUGCACAAUAGGCGGAAGCCAGAUGCAGUGACGCCGCGUGGGGGAAGACGGGCUUCGGGUUGUAAACCGCUGUCGCAUGUGACGAGGCGUGAGUGACGGUAAUGGGUAAAGAAGCACCGGCUAACUACGUG
rnacentral:rRNA from 1 species